CCCUGGAUGGCUCAGUCGGUUAAGCAUCUGACUUCGGCUCAGGUCAUGAUCUCACAGUUUGUGGGUUCGAGCCCCACAUCAGGUU
rnacentral:tRNA from 1 species